UUAACUAAAGCCAAAGAGAGGCAUAUUACUGUUGAUAAUAAGAAUGAAUUUUUUUUCUAGUUAAA
rnacentral:tRNA from 1 species